UGGGGAAUAUUGCACAAUGGGCGCAAGCCUGAUGCAGCCAUGCCGCGUGUAUGAAGAAGGCCUUCGGGUUGUAAAGCACUUUCAGCGGGGAGGAAGGCGAUAAGGUUAAUAACCUUGUCGAUUGACGUGACCCGCAGAAGAAGCACCGGCUAACUCCGUGCCAGCAGCCGCGGUAAUACGUAGGUGGCAAGCGUUGUCCGGAUUUAUUGGGCGUAAAGCGAGCGCAGGCGGUUUCUUAAGUCUGAUGUGAAAGCCCCCGGCUCAACCGGGGAGGGUCAUUGGAAACUGGGAGACUUGAGUGCAGAAGAGGAGAGUGGAAUUCCAUGUGUAGCGGUGAAAUGCGUAGAUAUAUGGAGGAACACCAGUGGCGAAGGCGGCUCUCUGGUCUGUAACUGACGCUGAGGCUCGAAAGCGUGGGGAGCAAACAGG
rnacentral:rRNA from 1 species